rnacentral:rRNA from 1 species
GCUAGCCUCAAGUGAUGAUUAUUGGAGGUAGAGCACUGUUUGGACGAGGGGCCCCUCUCGGGUUACCGAAUUCAGACAAACUCCGAAUGCCAAUUAAUUUAACUUGGGAGUCAGAACAUGGGUGAUAAGGUCCGUGUUCGAAAGGGAAACAGCCCAGACCACCAGCUAAGGUCCCAAAAUAUAUGUUAAGUGGAAAAGGAUGUGGCGUUGCCCAGACAACUAGGAUGUUGGCUUAGAAGCAGCCAUCAUUUAAAGAGUGCGUAAUAGCUCACUAGUCGAGUGACACUGCGCCGAAAAUGUACCGGGGCUAAACAUAUUACCGAAGCUGUGGAUUGUCCUUUGGACAAUGGUAGGAGAGCGUUCUAAGGGCGUUGAAGCAUGAUCGUAAGGACAUGUGGAGCGCUUAGAAGUGAGAAUGCCGGUGUGAGUAGCGAAAGACGGGUGAGAAUCCCGUCCACCGAUUGACUAAGGUUUCCAGAGGAAGGCUCGUCCGCUCUGGGUUAGUCGGGUCCUAAGCUGAGGCCGACAGGCGUAGGCGAUGGAUAACAGGUUGAUAUUCCUGUACCACCUAUAAUCGUUUUAAUCGAUGGGGGGACGCAGUAGGAUAGGCGAAGCGUGCGAUUGGAUUGCACGUCUAAGCAGUAAGGCUGAGUAUUAGGCA